rnacentral:rRNA from 1 species
AACGAACGCUGGCGGCAUGCCUAACACAUGCAAGUCGAACGAGACCUUCGGGUCUAGUGGCGCACGGGUGCGUAACGCGUGGGAAUCUGCCCUUGGGUCCGGAAUAACUCAGAGAAAUUUGAGCUAAUACCGGAUGAUGACGUAAGUCCAAAGAUUUAUCGCCCAGGGAUGAGCCCGCGUAGGAUUAGCUAGUUGGUGAGGUAAAGGCUCACCAAGGCGACGAUCCUUAGCNGGUCUGAGAGGAUGAUCAGCCACACUGGGACUGAGACACGGCCCAGACUCCUACGGGAGGCAGCAGUGGGAAUAUUGGACAAUGGGCGAAAGCCUGAUCCAGCAAUGCCGCGUGAGUGAUGAAGGCCUUAGGGUUGUAAAGCUCUUUUACCCGGAUGAUAAUGACAGUACCGGGAGAAUAA